ACCCUGGCAUGCUUGAGGUUCUAACUCUGGUCCGUGAUCCGGAUCGAGGACAGUGUAUGGUGGGCAGUUUGACUGGGGCGGUCUCCUCCUAAAGAGUAACGGAGGAGUACGAAGGUGCGCUCAGACCGGUCGGAAAUCGGUCGCAGAGUAUAAAGGCAAAAGCGCGCUUGACUGCGAGACAGACACGUCGAGCAGGUACGAAAGUAGGUCUUAGUGAUCCGGUGGUUCUGUAUGGAAGGGCCAUCGCUCAACGGAUAAAAGGUACUCCGGGGAUAACAGGCUGAUACCGCCCAAGAGUUCAUAUCGACGGCGGUGUUUGGCACCUCGAUGUCGGCUCAUCACAUCCUGGGGCUGAAGCCGGUCCCAAGGGUAUGGCUGUUCGCCAUUUAAAGUGGUACGCGAGCUGGGUUUAGAACGUCGUGAGACAGUUCGGUCCCUAUCUGCCGUGGACGUUUGAGAUUUGAGAGGGGCUGCUCCUAGUACGAGAGGACCGGAGUGGACGAACCUCUGGUGUUCCGGUUGUCACGCCAGUGGCAUUGCCGGGUAGCUAUGUUCGGAAAAGAUAACCGCUGAAAGCAUCUAAGCGGGAAACUUGCCUCAAGAUGAGAUCUCACUGGGAACUUGAUUCCCCUGAAGGGCCGUCGAAGACUACGACGUUGAUAGGCUGGGUGUGUAAGCGUUGUGAGGCGUUGAGCUAACCAGUACUAAUUGCCCGUGAGGCUUGACCA
rnacentral:rRNA from 1 species